AGGUUGACUGAGUCACCAUCAUGCUAAGCGUAUAAAAUGCACCAUUGUUUUUGAGAAGUGCAGAUCCCACAUGGGCCAAAUCAGGAUUAAAGGAAAUAAAAACCCUUCAUUGUCCAGGUCUGACAGUGGCAUUAAUCUGUGCAGUUUCCCCAUGGAAGCGACCUUGCUUUGGCUUUCAGUUCAUACAGAGGGGAACUCCCUUUUCCUUUCCCCCAGCAGCAGUGUGAUUCCGCAGUGCGGUGUUGGGGAGCUGCCAGCUACGGGGCAUGUGUUCCGAGUGUGCACCCAGGAGCCGGGGAAAUAACCUGGGCGUCCGCAGAGCCAGUGAGUCCACGGCCAGACAGGCUUUGGACUGAUGCCCUCACCAGCCUCUUCUUGGGAUGGUGAAGCUGAGAUACAGAGUGACCAGAUAAUCCACCCGCCUCACAGAAAAAGUCACUGGUAACUAGUCGCCACCAAGGGGCAGUGCCCUGCUGGGUCCAGCUGACACAGACGCCUGGGACCAUUCUGCGUCAGCUCCACAUCCGUCACUGAGGACCUGACAUUCAGAGGUUGAAUUCUGAGCUGAAGUCAAACUGAAUUUACGUGCAUAAGAAUUAAUGUGUCUCAGAGAGCUGGGGAC